ACACCUACGGGGGGCAGCAGUGGGGAAUUUUGGACAAUGGGCGCAAGCCUGAUCCAGCUAUUCCGCGUGUGGGAUGAAGGCCCUCGGGUUGUAAACCACUUUUGUAGAGAACGAAAAGACACCUUUUAAUAAAGGGUGUUGCUGACGGUACUCUAAGAAUAAGCACCGGCUAACUACGUGCCAGCAGCCGCGGUAAUACGUAGGGUGCGAGCGUUAAUCGGAAUUACUGGGCGUAAAGGGUGCGCAGGCGGUUGAGUAAGACAGCAGUGAAAUCCCCGAGCUUAACUCGGGAGUGGCAAAUGUGA
rnacentral:rRNA from 1 species